rnacentral:rRNA from 1 species
AACGAACGCUGGCGGCAUGCCUAACACAUGCAAGUCGAACGAGACCUUCGGGUCUAGUGGCGCACGGGUGCGUAACGCGUGGGAACCUGCCCUUAGGUUCGGAAUAACUCCCCGAAAGGGGUGCUAAUACCGGAUAAUGUCUUCGGACCAAAGAUUUAUCGCCUUUGGAUGGGCCCGCGUUGGAUUAGCUAGUUGGUAGGGUAAAAGCCUACCAAGGCGACGAUCCAUAGCUGGUCUGAGAGGAUGAUCAGCCACACUGGGACUGAGACACGGCCCAGACUCCUACGGGAGGCAGCAGUGGGGAAUAUUGGACAAUGGGCGCAAGCCUGAUCCAGCCAUGCCGCGUGAGUGAUGAAGGCCUUAGGGUUGUACAGCUCUUUUACCCGGGAUGAUAAUGACAGUACCGGGAGAAUAAGCUCCGGCUAACUCCGUG